UACGUAGGGAGCAAGCGUUGUCCGGAAUCAUUGGGCGUAAAGCGCGCGUAGGUGGCCCCGUAAGUCCGCUGUGAAAGUCAAAGGCUCAACCUUUGAAAGCCGGUGGAUACUGUGGGACUAGAGUACGGAAGAGGCGAGUGGAAUUCCUGGUGUAGCGGUGGAAUGCGCAGAUAUCAGGAGGAACACCAAUAGCGAAGGCAGCUCGCUGGGACGUUACUGACACUGAGGCGCGAAGGCGUGGGGAGCGAACAGG
rnacentral:rRNA from 1 species